rnacentral:rRNA from 1 species
AUGGACGAGCAGUGGAUGAUGGGGCAGACUUCCCUCAGCCUCGGCCUCAACGUCGGCCGGCCGACGGCGCGGCGGGGUGCCCCUCCGGUGACCAAGAUCCUCGUGGAGGAGGACUUCAUGUCCUCCAAGAAGAAUCACGAGGUCGAGGCGCUGGAGGCCGAGCUCCGGCGCGUGGGCGAGGAGAACAGGAGGCUCAGCGACAUGCUCCGCGCGCUGGUGGCCAAGUACUCCGACCUUCAGGGCAGGGUCAGCGGCAUGAUGGCGGCGGCGGCCGCGGCCAACAACCGCCAGUCACCCACGACGUCUGAGGGCGGCUCCGCGGCCUCGCCGUCCAGGAAGCGCGCUCGCAGCGACAGUCCCGACACCGCAGUCCAGGAAGCGUACCCUGCCAGCGGCGGCUUCGCCGUCAGCGUCAACGUCGGCCCCGACCAGGCGGAGUGCACGUCCGUCCACGAGCCGGGCAACAGCAAGCGCGUCCGCGCCGACGAGUGCAAGGCCAGCCGGGUCUCCAAGCUCUACGUCCACGCCGACCCCGCCGACCUCAGCCUCGUGGUGAAGGAUGGGUACCAAUGGCGAAAGUACGGCCAGAAGGUGACCAAGGACAACCCAUGCCCGAGGGCCUACUUCCGGUGCUCGUUCGCGCCGUCGUGCCAGGUGAAGAAGAAGGUGCAGCGCAGCGCCGAGGACAAGACCGUCCUGGUGGCCACGUACGAGGGCGAGCACAACCACGCACAGCCGCCGAAGAUGCAAGGCUCUGGCGGCCGGAAGUCCGCCGACGCAGCCGCCGUCCGUGCAUCGCCAGCGCCGCCGCUCGCCCAGCAACAGCCGAGGCAGCAAUCGAGGACGGAGGCGGGAUCGGCCGCGGACAGGAAGAACCUGGCGGAGCAGAUGGCAGCGACGCUGACGAGGGACCCCGGGUUCAAGGCGGCGCUCGUCUCCGCACUCUCCGGCCGUAUCCUCGAGCUCUCGCCGUCCGAUAGUUGA